rnacentral:misc_RNA from 1 species
GAUGAAGAACGUAGCGAAAUGCGAUAAGUAAUGUGAAUUGCAGAAUUCAGUGAAUCAUCGAAUCUUUGAACGCACCUUGCACCCUUUGGUAUUCCGAAGGGUAUGCUCGUUUGAGUGUCAUUGUACUCUCACACUUCUAAUUCCUUUCGGGAUUGGGAGCGAUGGACUUGGGUGUUGCUGCUUUAGUUGUGGCUCACCUCAAAUAAGUUAGUGCAACUCUUGGUUGGACAUAGUACGGCGUGAUAAGUGUCUUCGCCGGCGCCUCUGUAAGGAGGGUGGCCGAUCGGGAGCUCUGUGCUUCAAACCGUCUUCGGACAAUCUUUGACAACUUGACCUCAAAUCGAGUAGGACUACCCGCUGAACUUAAGCAUAUCAAUAAGCGGAGGA